AUUACGUCACACCGACCUAUCAGCUGACCUCACAGCUGAUUUCACUCCAGCUGAGACGCCGGCUUUUCACAAGCUAGGAGGAAUAGCUGUCGGUCAACGUGCUUUCCUUUGUCCAUCCAAACGUGCAUUCUGGUCUACUCUUUGCACUCCGAUCUGUUGCCAAAUUCAACUUGGCGUGACACGCUCUCCGCCUCGUACAAGAGUAUCUACCGGUGCCAUCAGCUGUUUGUUGGCUACCCUGUUCAUCUACCAAAGCUCCGAGAGCUCUCUCCUUCUGGCUCAGCGUGGGUUUGAGUUUCCUCUGACUCGUCGGCCUUUAUUGUCUCCCUCCUCUCCUCCUCUGCUGUUGUGGAACGCGCCUGGGUGUAGCUGCAGACUCCCGGUUCGCUCUGAAUUGCUGCUGUUUUGUCCCCCCCUCGAUACGUGCUUCGGACUGACGCGUCGCAGUGUCCGGUCAUCCGAGGGCUAUCACUCCGAAAGCAUUCAGCAGCCCAGCAUAAGUUAACUUGCGCAGGUGGCGCAUGUGGCCGAGUUCAGUGUGUGUGUGAAUGUAGUCUGUGUGAGUGAGUGUCCUGUUAUGUCGUGGUGAGAGCGCGAUUAAUUUGUUUAUUUUGUACAUUUUCUUUGAGGGAUGUUUCUUUCUUUUGUUUGAUUAUUUUCUUUUGACUUGAGUUGAGAACUUCAAUUUGAAUUAUUUUGUUUUUGUUUCUAUAAUUACUGAAUGUGCACGGCUUGUAGCCUAAACCAAUGCCCCUGGCCUGAUGGUAACUUACUAAUUCCCAUCAGUCCUGCUCUCGCCUGUAGCAAUCUCUUUCUGUGGCGAGUUAGAUUUUGCUGGUGGGCCCUGCAAUUCAGUUUAUUUCAUUUUGUUUGUCUUUAUUUGCUGGGCAAGUGGCAGGCCCUUGAUUACCCCCUUAUUUACCCUUUUCUUUUCUGUUAACAGGUGCAGGUAAUCCCAGAGGGAGGUCCUCUUCCCCCCUGGUGGUGGGUCCGGUCACAUGGUGUGCAGUGAAUUGCAGUGCAGUGCAGUGUUACCUGUGUGUGAGUGCAAUAAUUCACCUUCACUUAGUGUGUGCAUGGGCACGAGUGUUUGUGUGUACUUAUCCAAGACUUAGACAGGGGGCUUAGUAUAAUUCCCCCCUCUUGGGUGCACCUGCCCUGUAUUUGAGAACCCUCCCUUUUGUACCGAUUUGUGUGAGUGUGUAUGUGAGUGUGAGUGUGUG